UACAGCCUCGGGAGGUUAGACUGUUAGUAAGAGAGGGAGACGUUCAAACACACGUGGUAACUGCCACUUAGAUCAUGAGGUUACGACUGAAGACCUCCUCUUGCCCAGGGUCCACAUGCCCACAUUGCAGUCUUUGUUCUUGUGAGGGCAGGAGACAUUUGACAAUCAAUGUUUUCGCCAAAACCUAAGAGUCUGAAAGGAAUGAAGGGAAAGUGACUCAACAUUUGUCACCACACCAACCAACGCAUUUGACCAGGAGGUAUCACCGCAUUGUUUGGUCUUCAGAGAAACGGAGGUUGGAACUUUAUGAGGAGGAAAUGAAGUUGCUAUGUGAACUCAUGCCUUUGAAGGGAGAGCUUGCUGAGAAUGAAACCAUCGUGGAUGAGAACUGGAUAUUUUUCAACCUCGAGUCCUGAAUCCAACUAGGCGUGUGAUACAAGGACCCCAAACACAGACUUCUCCCCAGAUGUGCUCCUUCUUUGGCUGACUCGCAGCAACUGGCAGGUGCUAUCAUCUACC
rnacentral:lncRNA from 1 species